rnacentral:rRNA from 1 species
UACGUAGGGCGCAAGCGUUGUCCGGAAUUAUUGGGCGUAAAGAGCUCGUAGGCGGCUUGUCACGUCGAUUGUGAAAGCCCGAGGCUUAACCUCGGGUCUGCAGUCGAUACGGGCUAGCUAGAGUGUGGUAGGGGAGAUCGGAAUUCCUGGUGUAGCGGUGAAAUGCGCAGAUAUCAGGAGGAACACCGGUGGCGAAGGCGGGUCUCUGGGCAAUAACUGACGCUGAGGAGCGAAAGCGUGGGGAGCGAACAGG